AGUGAACGCUGGCGGUAGGCCUAACACAUGCAAGUCGAACGGCAGCACAGUAAGAGCUUGCUCUUACGGGUGGCGAGUGGCGGACGGGUGAGGAAUACAUCGGAAUCUACUUUUUCGUGGGGGAUAACGUAGGGAAACUUACGCUAAUACCGCAUACGACCUACGGGUGAAAGCAGGGGAUCUUCGGACCUUGCGCGAUUGAAUGAGCCGAUGUCGGAUUAGCUAGUUGGCGGGGUAAAGGCCCACCAAGGCGACGAUCCGUAGCUGGUCGGAGAGGAUGAUCAGCCACACUGGAACUGAGACACGGUCAAGACUCCUACGGGAGGCAGCAGUGGGGAAUAUUGGACAAUGGGCGCAAGCCUUAUCCAGCCAUACCGCGUGGGUGAAGAAGGCCUUCGGGUUGUAAAGCCCUUUUGUUGGGAAAGAAAAGCAGCAGGUUAAUACCCCGCUGUUCUGACGGUACCCAAAGAAUAAGCACCGGCUAACUUCGUG
rnacentral:rRNA from 1 species